GACGAACGCUGGCGGCGUGCUUAACACAUGCAAGUCGAACGGAAAGGCCUUUUCGGAGGUACUCGAGUGGCGAACGGGUGAGUAACACGUGGGUGAUCUUCCCUGCACUCUGGGAUAAGCCUGGGAAACUGGGUCUAAUACCGGAUAGGACCGCACUUUAGUGUGUGUGGUGGAAAGUUUUUUCGGUGUAGGAUGAGCCCGCGGCCUAUCAGCUUGUUGGUGGGGUAAUGGCCUACCAAGGCGGCGACGGGUAGCCGGACUGAGAGGUUGGUCGGCCACAUUGGGACUGAGAUACGGCCCAGACUCCUACGGGAGGCAGCAGUGGGGAAUAUUGCACAAUGGGCGCAAGCCUGAUGCAGCGACGCCGCGUGGGGGAUGACGGCCUUCGGGUUGUAAACUCCUUUCGCCAGGGACGAAGCGUUUUGUGACGGUACCUGGAGAAGAAGCACCGGCUAACUACGUG
rnacentral:rRNA from 1 species